AAAGGUUUGGUCCUGGCCUUUUUAUUAGUUGUUAGCAAAAUAAUACAUGCAAGAGUCAUCCCUCCAGUGAGAAUGCCCUCCAAGUCAAUAAGAUCAAGAGGAGCGGGUAUCAAGCACACUUCCAGUAGCUCAUAACAUCUUGCUCAGCCACACCCCCACGGGAUACAGCAGUACUUAAAAUUAAGCAAUAAACGAAAGUUUGACUAAGUUAUGCAACAUCGUAUAGGGUUGGUAAAUCUCGUGCCAGCCACCGCGGUCAUACGAUUAACCCUAAUUAAUAAAACCCGGCGUAAAGAGUGUUAAAAACAUAAUUACAAUAAGAUUAAAUUUUAUCUAAGUUGUAAAAAACAACAGAUAAAAAUAAAAUCAAAAACGAAAGUAAUCUUAAUAAAUCUGAAUACACUAAAGCUAAGAUCCAAACUGGGAUUAGAUACCCCACUAUGCUUAGGCGUAAACACAGACAUUUAAUAACAAAAAUUUUCGCCAGAGAACUACUAGCAAUAGCUUAAAACUCAAAGGACUUGGCGGUGCUUUAAAUCCACCUAGAGGAGCCUGUUCUAUAAUCGAUAAACCCCGAUAAACCUCACCACUUCUUGCUAAUCCAGUCUAUAUACCGCCAUCUCCAGCAAACCCCAAUAGGGAUUAAAAGUAAGCACAACUACUCCCAUAAAAACGUUAGGUCAAGGUGUAACUAAUGAAGUGGAAAGUAAUGGGCUACAUUUUCUUCAUUCAAGAAAACUUACAAACAGUAAUUUCUAUGAAAUCUAGAGAUUUAAGGAGGAUUUAGUAGUAAAUUAAGAAUAGAGAGCUUAAUUGAAUUAGGCAAUAAAGCACGCACACACCGCCCGUCACCCUCCUCAAAUAUUCACUCAAAUUUAUUUAAAUUACAAAAUAUGAGAGGAGACAAGUCGUAACAAGGUAAGCAUACUGGAAAGUGUGCUUGGAUAAA
rnacentral:ncRNA from 1 species